UACACAUACACCCCCACACAUACACAAACAUGGAUCCGCACAACUCUUUCUUUUUAUUUUUUGUGAAGUACAAGAAAGUUGUAUGCAUCCAUCCUAAAAAUAACAUCACAUAUAGCCUUUCAACUCUGUCUCAUUAGAUGCAGGUUUAUGUUAUUUAUGAACUUGCUUGACUGUGAAAUGCACAUCUAAAUCACCUCAGCUUUGUGGUAACAAUGCAGAAGCAUGGCUGAUUCUGUGAAUGUGCAUAGCAAGCCAAAGUUUUGCUGAGAGAGUCAGAAGAUCCCGCUGUCUGAUGUAGGCAGAAUAUUUGCUCUAGCAAGUCAUUUUCAAAGACAUACUGCCAGACCUCCUAUUUCAGAAAUAUGCCAACCUUGUGAUACACCUGGAAAAAAAGGCAAAAUAACCAAAUGGUCUGGCAACAGUUUGUGGCAAACUCACCUACUGAAGCCUGUUCAGUAUCUCACCACAGAACACAUGAUGUUUUCCGUGUUCCAUUCCCAGAGAUGUACUGCUUUUAGAACCCCUUUAAAGAAGAUACUAAACACAAUUGAGAAAGUACAACAAAUAAAACAGCAGCUAUAUUUUAAUUCCCAGCUUAGUAAAUAAAUUAAAAAAAAACACUGUGACCAAUGCUGACUGUUACCAAGGAAACAUAUAAAAGUUAAAAUACAUCAGUCUCCAAGUAACCUUUCAGUUCUGUAUACGACACUGGGACUAUUAAGAAGAUGGUCUUAGAUGGUCCAAGGACAAAGUAGUAACAUGCAGAAUGCUAGGAGAGACAGGAUAUUUGCAUCCCUCUAGUUUGCUUUAGUUAUGCUACUGUCACAAAGCAAGUUACACUAACAUACUGGUCCUGACACCUCCUGCUGUCUGGGCUCUAAGAUUCUUAUAACCUUUGCUUCAUGCAUUUAUUUCUGUGAUGAUAAUAUAAUUCCCUGAGGUACAACACUAUAACUUUUGUACCGCCAUGUCUUCUGUCUUCGUUUUAAGGGAUGUAAAGACAAAAAGUUUUGAAGCAAAGACCCUGAAUUCUCUAGUGAUUGUUUUCUGGGACUCAUGUUAAUGCCCUUUCACCAUGUCGCAUUUGGUAAACAUUCAGACUUAUCUUAUGACAUCUGUAUCAGGUUUCUAAACUACCAAGAACAUAUAGUUUCUACUUAUUGCUUAGCUACUUACAUUUUAUUUUUUUUAUAUUUGAAUUGUGUGCUGUAUUUCUUCAUCUGUGCAUGUGUUUUGCAGCAGUUCCCCUGCUUCCAAAGAACAAGAACAUGUUUGUUAUUAUCUUUUCUGGUGCUUCUGUAAGUGCAAUAGUACACUAUCAAUUAAAGAAGUAUUAUGGCUUCUGAAA